GUGCUCACUUCAGCAGCACAUAUACUAAAAUUGAAACGAUACAGAGAAGGUUAGCAUGGCCCCUGUGCAAGGAUGACAUGAAGAGUUCCAUAUUAAA
ensembl:snRNA U6 U6 spliceosomal RNA